CCUACGGGCGGCAGCAGUGAGGAAUAUUGGUCAAUGGACGCAAGCCUGAACCAGCCAUGCCGCGUGCAGGAAGACGGCUCUAGGAGUUGUAAACUGCUUUUGUACGGGGGUAAACGCAGAUACGCGUAUCUGUCUGAAAGUAUCGUACGAAUAAGGAUCGGCUAACUCCGUGCCAGCAGCCGCGGUAAUACGGAGGAUUCAAGCGUUAUCCGGAUUUAUUGGGUUUAAAGGGUGCGUAGGCGGGCGGAUAAGUUAGAGGUGAAAACCCGGGGCUCAACUUCGGAAUUGCCUGUGAUACUGUUCGGCUAGAGAGUAGUAGAGGUAGGCGGAAUGUAUGGUGUAGCGGUGAAAUGCUUAGAGAUCAGAAAGAACACCAGUUGCGAAGGCAGCUUGCCAGGCUACUACUGACGUUGAGGCACGAAAGCGUGGGGAGCAAACAGGAUUAGAUACCCCUGUAAUC
rnacentral:rRNA from 1 species